rnacentral:rRNA from 1 species
UACGGAGGUCCCGAGCGUUGUUCGGAUUCACUGGGCGUAAAGGGUGCGUAGGUGGUGAGGUAAGUCGGAUGUGAAAGCUCCAAGCUCAACUUGGAAAUGGCAUUGGAAACUACCUUGCUAGAGGGUUUGAGGGGGGACUGGAAUACUUGGUGUAGCAGUGAAAUGCGUAGAUAUCAAGUGGAACACCAGUGGCGAAGGCGAGUCCCUGGAAAACUCCUGACACUGAGGCACGAAAGCUAGGGGAGCAAACAGG